rnacentral:rRNA from 1 species
GACGAACGCUGGCGGCGUGCUUAACACAUGCAAGUCGAACGGAAAGGCCCUGCUUUUGUGGGGUGCUCGAGUGGCGAACGGGUGAGUAACACGUGAGUAACCUGCCCUUGACUUUGGGAUAACUUCAGGAAACUGGGGCUAAUACCGGAUAGGAGCUCCUGCUGCAUGGUGGGGGUUGGAAAGUUUCGGCGGUUGGGGAUGGACUCGCGGCUUAUCAGCUUGUUGGUGGGGUAGUGGCUUACCAAGGCUUUGACGGGUAGCCGGCCUGAGAGGGUGACCGGGCACAUUGGGACUGAGAUACGGCCCAGACGCGAACGGGAGGCAGCAGGGGGGAAUAUUGCACAAUGGGCGGACGCCUGAUGCAGCAACGCCCCGUGCGGGAUGACGGCCUUCGGGUUGUGAACCGCUUUCGCCUGUGACGAAGCGUGAGUGACGGUAAUGGGUAAAGAAGCACCGGCUAACUACGUG